rnacentral:rRNA from 1 species
AGUGAACGCUGGCGGUAGGCCUAACACAUGCAAGUCGAACGGCAGCACAGUAAGAGCUUGCUCUUACGGGUGGCGAGUGGCGGACGGGUGAGGAAUACAUCGGAAUCUACUUUUUCGUGGGGGAUAACGUAGGGAAACUUACGCUAAUACCGCAUACGACCUACGGGUGAAAGCAGGGGAUCUUCGGACCUUGCGCGAUUGAAUGAGCCGAUGUCGGAUUAGCUAGUUGGCGGGGUAAAGGCCCACCAAGGCGACGAUCCGUAGCUGGUCUGAGAGGAUGAUAGGCCACACUGGAACUGAGACACGGUCCAGACUACUACGGGAGGCAGCAGUGGGGAAUAUUGGACAAUGGGCGCAAGCCUGAUCCAGCCAUACCGCGUGGGUGAAGAAGGCCUUCGGGUUGUAAAGCCCUUUUGUUGGGAAAGAAAAGCAGCAGGUUAAUACCCCGCUGUUCUGACGGUACCCAAAGAAUAAGCACCGGCUAACUUCGUG